GACGAACGCUGGCGGCGUGCCUAACACAUGCAAGUCGAGCGAAGUAUAUUUAAGGGAAAUUUUCGGAUGGAACUUAAAUAUAUCUUAGCGGCGGACGGGUGAGUAACGCGUGAGCAACCUGCCUUUCACAAAGGGAUAGCCUCGGGAAACUGGGAUUAAUACCAUAUAAAACUUGUCUUUCGCAUGAAAGAAAAGUCAAAGCGAAUAAGCGGUGAAAGAUGGGCUCGCGUCCUAUUAGCUAGUUGGUGAGGCAACGGCUCACCAAGGCGACGAUAGGUAGCCGGCCUGAGAGGGUGAACGGCCACACUGGAACUGAGACACGGUCCAGACUCCUACGGGAGGCAGCAGUGGGGGAUAUUGCACAAUGGAGGAAACUCUGAUGCAGCGACGCCGCGUGAGUGAAGAAGGCCUUCGGGUCGUAAGACUCUGUCCUAGGGAAGAGUAAUGACGGUACCCUAGGAGGAAGCCCGGCUAACUACGUGCCAGCAGCCGCGGUAAACCCUCGUCUCUACC
rnacentral:rRNA from 1 species